rnacentral:rRNA from 1 species
UAAGGAAUAUUGGUCAAUGGACGCAAGUCUGAACCAGCCAUGCCGCGUGAAGGAUGAAGGUCCUCUGGAUUGUAAACUUCUUUUAUCUGGGACGAAAACGGGAUUUUUAUCUCAAUUGACGGUACCAGAGGAAUAAGCACCGGCUAACUCCGUGCCAGCAGCCGCGGUAAUACGGAGGGUGCGAGCGUUAUCCGGAUUUACUGGGUUUAAAGGGUGCGUAGGUGGGCUUAUGAGUCAGUGGUGAAAUCUCCGAGCUUAACUUGGAAACUGCCGUUGAUACUAUAGGUCUUGAAUUAUCUGGAGGUAAGCGGAAUAUGUCAUGUAGCGGUGAAAUGCUUAGAUAUGACAUAGAACACCAAUUGCGAAGGCAGCUUACUACAUAUAAAUUGACGCUGAGGCACGAAAGCGUGGGGAUCAAACA